GACGAACGCUGGCGGCGUGCUUAACACAUGCAAGUCGAACGGAAAGGCCCAGCUUGCUGGGUACUCGAGUGGCGAACGGGUGAGUAACACGUGGGUAACCUGCCCCGAUGACCGGGACAACCCGAGGAAACUCGGGCUAAUACCGGCUGUGGUCACACCACACAAGUGAUGUGACUCAAGGUAGCUUCGGCCUCCGCAUCGGGAUGGGCCCGCGGCCCAUUAGCUUGUUGGUGAGGUAACGGCUCACCAAGGCCACGAUGGGUAGCUGGUCUGAGAGGACGAUCAGCCACACUGGGACUGAGACACGGCCCAGACUCCUACGGGAGGCAGCAGUGGGGAAUCUUGCGCAAUGCGCGAAAGCGUGACGCAGCAACGCCGCGUGGGGGAAGAAGGCCUUCGGGUUGUAAACCCCUUUCAGGAGGGACGAAGCCGGGUCGGUGAAUAGCCGGUCCCGGUGACGGUACCUCCACAAGAAGCCCCGGCUAACUACGUGCCAGCCGCCGCGGUAACAC
rnacentral:rRNA from 1 species